AUAUGGAUAUUUCACUCACCAUCUCUCUUAGUCUUGCUCUGCAAUUGUCUAGACCACCAUCAUCACCAUCAUCUCUUGGCCAAAUGGACAAUUUGAUCUAAGUUCUUUGUUCUCCCACAUAGGCACCAAUGUUUACUAUCACCUCCCUCCCAAAUUUGUAUACUUCAUCAAACCAUUUUUAGCUAACCCUCCCAACACUCCACCUUGGUCGACAUUCAUGAAGUGGCAUUGUAUUUUGCUUGUUCACUUGUGAUUGUCAAGAAGGAGCCGGCCAUGACAAGAUUUUCGGCCAGCCCUCCCUCCUCACUUCCUUCUCUUACAAGCUUUGCCUCCCACCUAACCCAAUCACUAAAUGGGCAGCCACCCACCUUGGCCAAUCAAGUGAAGGGCUGCCACCACUCUCUCCCUCUAUAAAGCUCACUUGGCCGGCCACCCCUCCACCUUUGGCUCUCAUUUUUGACUCUCCACUCCUUCCUCCACUCACUCACACUCCUCUCCUACCUCUUCCCCACGAGCUGCUGCUCCCCCAAGGCUCCAUGGCCGGCCAUGGCCAUGGAAAGCUCACCAAGAUGCGGCUCCUUCCUCCCUCAAGCUCAUCCUCACCAUGAGAGCCUCCCUCUCCAUCUUCUCCCCAACCUUAGAUGGUUUAAUCUCCUCUUCUUCUUCCUCCAUUGCUAAGAUUGGAUCUUGAUGCAGGUGCAUGUUGGUCCAAGCAUGGAGAAGCAUGAGCAAUCCUCAGAUCUGAAGUUCUUGAGCAAAAUCCAAAUCGAGUGAUUCAAAGUUCCGCAGGUAGAUAUGGAAAAGAUUUACAACUUGGCGUUGGUCUCAUCCUCAAAUUCGUUACGGAUUGUCCGUGGUAAAUAAAGUUCUGUAGACAUGCAGAUUCACUGUUUGUUAGAUUUGUUCCGAUUUUACAAAACCUUUUUGAACAAACUCAACUGUGGGUGAAAGCCCUCUUCAAUACCUUCAUUUUGGCGGUGGUUUCACUUCGAUUGACCUCCUGAAACUGAAAUGGUUCACAGAUCAAGGUCUGGUCAGAUCUGACUUUGUCGAAUUAAACUAGGAGUUUGGAAACGAAUUUUUGAAUGAAACCAGUUGGGACCGAUGGAUGUUUUCUUAAUCAUCUCAAACAAGUUUCACACCUUUGUCUGUUAUGUAACUCCAGAGAGAAAGCAAAUGGUACAGACAUGCAGUAAACUUGUCAAUCCAUUUGUGAGAGUUUCAGAAACAAUUUGAACCCAAAUCUAAUUGUGUGUGCAUCUCUGUUUAAAUACCUUUCAAAUGCCAGUAGUCUCAUAUUUUUAGGAUUUUUCUACG